AAAAAAAAAAAAAAAAAAAAAAAACACAUCACAUUGCGUAAGCAAACCUAAACAAGCCAGAAAUGUAAAUUCGGAAAAUGCCAAGUCAAUAUGUGGUGGAGAAUACAAUGAAGAAAUAAGCCAAAAACCUCCAACAUAGCCUACAUACAUCUUUGGGGUUUGUGAUAGUUCUACAAUGGCAAAAAUUGCAAAAGAUCUUCAUGUAAUGAUGCUUCCGUGGUCUGCCUUUGGUCACCUGAUUCCAUUCUUUCAUCUCUCCAUAGCCUUGGCCAAAGCCGGAGUUAAAAUCUCCUUUGUAUCAACUCCAAGAAACAUCCAAAGACUCCCUAAAAUUCCUGCAAAUUUAGAGACACUCAUAAACUUUGUGGAGUUUUCAUUGCCAACCUUAGAAGAGGAAUCCCUACCAGAAGGAGCAGAGGCCACUGUUGAUAUUCCUCCUGAGAAAAUCGUGCCCCUGAAGAUUGCAUAUGAUCUCCUCCAACACCCCUUGAAGCAGUUUGUAGCCGACCAACGGCCUGAUUGGAUUGUCAUCGAUUUAAUUUCUCACUGGAUGGUGGAUAUUGCCAGAGAAAACAAAGUUCCUUUGUUGUAUUUCUCUGUUUUCUCUGCUUCUUCAUAUCUUUUUCUCGGCCAUCCUCGGUGCUUGGCCGGUGAUAGUCAAAAGAAGCUUCGGCCGUCAUGGGAGAGUAUGACUUCACCACCAGAGUGGGUUGACUUUCCUUCAUCCGUAGCUUAUCGGAAGUACGAGGCUAUCGGUGCUUUUGAAUGGAUCUAUGGAACAAAUGCUUCUGGUAUAUCAGAUGCUGAAAGGGUUGCCAAAAUAUUGAAUUCCUGCCAAGGCUUGAUUAUACGUAGCUGCCUGGAGUUUGAAGGUGAUUACUUGAACUCAUUGCACAAGGUAAUGGGAAAACCAGUACUUCCUUUGGGUUUGUUACCGCUAGAGAAACCAAAAACAAGAGAAAUCAGUGAUGGUUCAUGGGGUGAAAUCUUUAAUUGGCUUGAUCACCAGA
rnacentral:misc_RNA from 1 species